AUAUCCUGCCACAGGCUAUGGUGCGAAGUCUGGGACAGGGGCCAUAGUACAAGCUUGUCACGUCACGGGGCACCAGAGGUCCUGUAGCCCGCUGUGCUUAGCAUCACAGUGUCAGUAGGCACUCUGUUUAGGGGACUCUCCGAAAGCUUUGGCCCAACUUCACUGCUGUAGGUUGCAAGGCUCCGAAAGUCCUGAGACUUUGGAGACGUUCGGUGAACCACAGCAUCUGCCUUUCAAGGCGCUGGUUAAAGUCACCACCUCCAGGAAGCCUUCCGGCGUCCGUAAAGGCUUCCUUGCCUGACUCUCGGCCUGCCCCGCAGGAGGAGCGUCUAAAAAAAAAAGACAUCCCCUGUGAAACUCUGGCCAGGCCAGUGGACUCUGGAGUCCCUUUCCCUUCGUUUCCGACUUUCCCACGCAAAAAAUAAAAACCUCCGGAAUCUUGCGGGUGACAGGACCACGCGGAGCACUUAUUACAAGAGCGGCCAAGAACUGCCAUUCCCAGAAUGCCCCGGUUUAUUUGCAUCUUUUUGUCUCGGGUGGCGUCACCUGAGUGAGGCUGCUACUGUACCAAUGGGCCGCUGCGGGGUGUUAGGACCUGGCCAUAUAAGGCAAAGCCAGCAUACAGGAUAUCACAGAAUGAGAGGCAGCGCUGCUUUCUUUGUUGCCAUGGAGACUGCAACAAAGCCUGAAGGAAAGUGGGCAGGUUGGUAGCUAGACCGACCUGGAUGACAUUUUUGACUGCUGUUUCCUCAAGUUCUUCUCUUGUGUGGGAGCUCUCCUAGCUGCGGUGUGUGGGAUGGACGAUUGUAAUGGGCCGGCAAAGGGCCUGGUACUUUAUGCACCAGAUCCAGCACACAUCCGUUUUCGAAUACCACAUUGGCCACCCUAGGGAGUGGUAUUUUUAUACAUAAGCGGUAUUUUUAUAGAUAAACAAGCUUCAGGUAUAUUUCAGCUCUACACUUAGAUACUUAGAGCGAGAAGAAAAGAGCAGCAUCCAUUGUGCCAGCAGUAUUUUUCUGGCAAAGGAAGCUGAGUAUUGUGUUAGGGGAUCUUUUUUGUUCAGGGAUGUCAUACACACACACACACACACACACACACACACACACUUGUGUUAGGGGAUCUUUUUUGUUCAGGGAUGUCAUACACACACACACACACCUACCGUAUCUAGGCACCUCAGUGACU
rnacentral:lncRNA from 1 species